GGCAAGUUUGACCAACACACAGUUUUAUGAGAAGUGCAAUGAAUGCUUUGCUUUAUCUUACAAUUAUAGUAGGUUUUAGUGAGAUGAAUGAUCAGGAUAGAAUUAGCACACUUGUCAAAUGACAUCCCCAAAAAAAGGCAGCUCACUUAAAUUGGGAGGGAGUACAAUAGUGUGAAUAACUAAAAUCCUACUAAUUUUUUUUGGUAUUGUUUUGUUACUUCAAAGUUGAAAAACAUGUUCCAUUCUUUUCUUCUAUGAGAAACACGAUUGUUUCUCAGCAGGAGGGAGUAGCAUUUUUACGUGUGUUCCUCUGUUUUUUUUCUAUUUUAUUGCUAUAUAAUUGAUGGUUUGAUCAUCUCAAAGUAAUUCUUCUGCUUUAACUUGCAGCUCCAAGGGCUGUGGAGAAAUGUCGAGACCGGAACUAGCUUGUAUUUGCGCAUGAUUGUUGCUGUUCAUCCUGCAAUAUGCGAGUCGAGAAGGUUAAAUGCUCUUAAACCCAAAUUCUUGUUGGAGCAAAUGGGUGUAGGCACUGGAUUGCAGAUCAUGGGUAGAUACGCUAUAUUAUUGUCAUGGUGUUUUCAUGUCUUAAGUAAUUUGUAUUGUCUCUAAGCUUUAUCUGUCUAAUUUGACAACACUCGGACCUUCAUCUUGGAAUACUGCAGCAAUUUAGGUCUGUGUGUUUGGUUCCUGUUCCUUUACUGAAAUAUUAGUAUGUAAAGUGUGGUGUUUGUUGAAUAUUUCUCAUCUGUUUAAUGUGUUUUACUCCUACUUUGUCAACCCUGAUUCGGAAUGCAUAUCUGAUCCCAAUUACAUGCAUGUAACAUGUGCCGUAUUUGCCUGCUUUUGAGGGAAAAUGGUCUGGUUCGGUUUAUGAAUAUUGGAGAGCAACCUCUUUGAGCUAGCUUAAUGGGUAGUGACAAGGUUUAGCUUUGCAAAAUGUUCAAAAAGUAUAGAAACUAUAGUUUAUUGUCCACAUCUGUUUAAGUUUUUUAGGGGGUGUGAAAAGAAAAGUAAAGAGCAGAAAACUCGGCCACUUUUCAACUAUAGCUUAAACAUUCAAAAAUGGUUAGAUUUUAG
rnacentral:lncRNA from 1 species